rnacentral:lncRNA from 1 species
GAUAGCAAGCCAGUAGUUAAUAUUAGGCUCUUUUCGCCGAGGCAUCGGGUUAAGGGUAGGCUAAGAAAGUUGCAUGACAAUUAAUUAAUCAAACUAAUAAUUCAAGAGGAGUAGAUAAGAGAGAGCGGAAAAUGAUGAAAUUGUAAACCCCCAACAACUCCAUUCAUCCAUUGUUUUCUUCUUGUCAUUUGAAUCAAUCUCUUUUG